CUGUGCCUCUUGAGCAGCAGAGAGACAAAUAUGAGACUCUCAGAGAAGAGACCAGGAUGACAGGCACACGUGCUUGCAUGAAGGUGCAGAAGAACCUCACAGGGAGCAGUCACACAAGAGACGGCAGAGACUGAAGAUAGAGCCAGCCGAUGGAGAGAGAUUGUCACCAACACUCCCCAGAGGAAAACCAUCCCCAAAGCCAGACAAGGCCUUGAAGGUCCAUCUCUACUGUUAGCAGGAUUUAAAAUCACCAUGGAAAUGUGU